CAGAUCACUGCACAACCUUUUUCAGAUGCAGAGACUUGCAAACCUGGCCAGCAAAAUGCUUAAGUUGUGAUCUGCAAUGGACUUCCCUGUGGUGAGGUGGGCCUUCAUGUUCUGAGUUCCUGAAAUGUUGGUGAAGUUUGAGAAAGGGAAGAGAAACCAUGCCACAUCAACUCUGCACAACCACUUCCACCAUGUAUCUAAGCAACAAAGCAGAUGCAGAGUACCAAAUCUCUGAAAAUCACACCUAUAAUUUAAUCUUACCUAUCAGUUGGAUGAUUUGCAGCCUGAUCCCAGGAAAGCUGGAGCUUGUUGGUGUGAGACUCAUCUAUUUUACAAUGCUUUCCUGGUACACAGGGAGUAACAUGCCAACUCUUCCCAUGCUGUUCCAGGUAACUCCUUUAGCCAUGAUAAGAAGUGUUGUCCAAGAAACUGGGAUUAUAGCCCUCAGAAAACAAACAAAACUUCUUACAAGGGAGCAUCUGAGAAAUUUCUCCUGGAAGGUGACUAAUCUCUGCAUCCAGUUCAAUAACCUAUAACAUCAUGGGUAGGUGUGAGUGCAGAAGCAUGUGGAUUACUGCCCAGUUCUUCAAGAAUGCUGAGAAAAAAAUGCAGAAAUUAGAGAUGGAUUCUAGGAUCUGUAAAUUGAGCAGGUUUGAUAAGUAGGCCAUGGGACCCCAGGCAGAUGCCAGCACUCAGUAUUAUGCAUCAGUCCGUGGCUCACAUUUUUCAUUUGUUUGACCUUGCCCUAAUUUUUUAUCAGCUGAUCAUCAGUUAUGAUUUAUUGAAAAAAAUAAAAAAUAAAAGACAAAGAAAGACUGUGAUAAC
rnacentral:lncRNA from 1 species